rnacentral:rRNA from 1 species
UAAUACAUGCAAGUCGAGCGAACGGACGAGAAGCUUGCUUCUCUGAUGUUAGCGGCGGACGGGUGAGUAACACGUGGAUAACCUACCUAUAAGACUGGGAUAACUUCGGGAAACCGGAGCUAAUACCGGAUAAUAUUUUGAACCGCAUGGUUCAAAAGUGAAAGACGGUCUUGCUGUCACUUAUAGAUGGAUCCGCGCUGCAUUAGCUAGUUGGUAAGGUAACGGCUUACCAAGGCAACGAUGCAUAGCCGACCUGAGAGGGUGAUCGGCCACACUGGAACUGAGACACGGUCCAGACUCCUACGGGAGGCAGCAGUAGGGAAUCUUCCGCAAUGGGCGAAAGCCUGACGGAGCAACGCCGCGUGAGUGAUGAAGGUCUUCGGAUCGUAAAACUCUGUUAUUAGGGAAGAACAUAUGUGUAAGUAACUGUGCACAUCUUGACGGUACCUAAUCAGAAAGCCACGGCUAACUACGUGCCAGCAGCCGCGGUAAUACGUAGGUGGCAAGCGUUAUCCGGAAUUAUUGGGCGUAAAGCGCGCGUAGGCGGUUUUUUAAGUCUGAUGUGAAAGCCCACGGCUCAGCCGUGGAGGGUCAUUGGAAACUGGAAAACUUGAGUGCAGAAGAGGAAAGUGGAAUUCCAUGUGUAGCGGUGAAAUGCGCAGAGAUAUGGAGGUACACCAGUGGCGAAGGCGA